UACGUAGGGCGCAAGCGUUAUCCGGAAUUAUUGGGCGUAAAGAGCUCGUAGGCGGUUUGUCGCGUCUGCCGUGAAAGUCCGGGGCUCAACUCCGGAUCUGCGGUGGGUACGGGCAGACUAGAGUGAUGUAGGGGAGACUGGAAUUCCUGGUGUAACGGUGAAAUGCGCAGAUAUCAGGAAGAACACCGGUGGCGAAGGCGGGUCUCUGGGCCGAUACUGACGCUGAGGAGCGAAAGCGUGGGGAGCGAACAGG
rnacentral:rRNA from 1 species